AAAGCUCUUAUGCAAGUACUUCAUCUUAACCUGCACGUCUCCCCACAGCCAUCAGAUGGCGCUGUGCUCUUGAUAAUCUGAAAUGUUUGCUGCACUCAUCUCUUCACUUCCGGUUGUGCAUAGUCGAGAAGAAAAAAAAGUCAAUAAUACUGACAAUCCUGAUGGUAUUAUUCCUCAACCUAUUCAUAAUUCACAUUUCAAAGCCUACAGCGAACGGCAGGUUUGGACUACAGCCCUCUACUUCCGGGAUGAAUGACGUCAAAGCAAGAGCGUUUGACUAAACUCCGCCCACAGGAAUACGUCAGUCACUGCUCAAAAACGCCUCUGGCUAAGCUAAGCUGCUAAACAAGCUACACACAAAGAUAAGUACAUUAUGUCAAAAAUACUUCGUUUUUCACACAGGAAACAUGAACAAAUGUUAUAUUGCACACCUUAAACGCAAUCAUAGCUUCAAAAACACAGGUAACUUCGCGUAACUUCCGGUAAACUCUUACAUAGCAAUCCAAAACAUUUGGUAUUUUCGACGAGGAAUUUGUUUAAGAGUUCAGUUUCAGCAACUAGUCAGACCAUUAAACAAACAGAAACCGGAAGUAAAGUUCCUACCAGACGCUUAUCGCGUCACCGCACGUGCGCCCGAUGAAACGGUCUAUAUACAGUAACAAUAAACUCCAGUCUUAUCUGAUUGGAAACCAUAUGAUUUUCAUUUUAUAGUCAAAGAUGUAAAGUUAAAGUUCACCAAGUCUAUCUAUAUUGUUUAAAGACGUCAUGCUAGGUUGAAAGAACAGCAAAUGAUGACAACAUUUUCAGUUUUGGAUAAACUAUUCCUGUUGAUAAAUAUAAAGGACUGAUGAAAUAACAUGCCUAAAAAUAAUAAAUAAAGUAUCACAUCCCAUAAUUCCACAGUGCUCUACUUUACAGAUGAGAAAAGAGAUAGUGAGAGAUGUUUGAACGCUCAUCUACCCCCACACAAACUUCAGAUUGCAUUAAUCAAUAGGUCCCUCUCUCGCGCGCGCUCGCUCGCUCGCAAAUGGUCAUCUACGUAAUUGUUUUUACCUUUUUUUAAUCGUUGAACACAGAACGCAGAUGCCACCUGCCAUCACAGAAUGAGCAAUACUUUUCACUGUCCACCAUUUCCUUUAUAAAUGCUAAUCUAUCAAUGGCUCAUACAACAUGCAAUAGCCAGUUGCCUGGUAACAUCUCUGAUAUGGUUGUUGUGUUUGAGAGAGAAAACCUGCUUUUGUGCAUUUGUCUUUUUUCUUUACUUUUCUAACAACAAUGUUGUUUAUAUAAUACAAGCAUCUGAAUUUCUAACAGCACGCCCACAAGCACUGAUCUUUAUAUGAAGCAGUCACCGAGAGCAUUAUUCUGCAAUCUGUUAUCAGUGGAAUUAUUUAGCAGUUAGAUAUGAAGCAUAACAACAGCUCUCGAUAACAGCGUGAAGCCAUGCGCCAAAACUUUGACAUUUGUAUCACACUUUCCCAGCUAUUUAGGGAGACACUCCAGUCAAAAACCCAUAUAGUUAUGUACAGUAUAAUCUACUUUACACAAGGAAAUAUCUUAGGUUUUUUUAAACAGAAAAUCGGGUUACUGCGGCUUCAAUGGGUUUUGGCUGAAAAUAAAUUCAUAGCAGAGUUCCUAAUGGCGAUGCCAACAGAAGCUGGUGAAGAUGUUAAUUUGCACAGUCGAGUUUGUCAUAGAUAAAAAUCAUCCAGAUCUGAGUAAAUAACAGAAAGGCAUCUUUACUCAGAUGGUGGUGUGAAUAAUGAAGAGUUUCAAGAACAAUACAAAGAGGUUUUUGCUUUGAUGGUUCUGAACAAUUAAAAUAUUUGAAGUUUGUCAAAUGAUAGACAUGUAGACAGAUAGACAGACAGACAGAUAGAUACCGUAGAUAGAUAGAUACUGUAGCCAGGUAGAUACCACAGAUAAUCAGGUUACUGCGGCUUUAAUGGGUUUUGGCUGAAAAUGAAUUCAUAGCAGAGUUCCUAAUGGUGAUGCCAACAGAAGCUUAUGAAUUUGUCGAGCUAGAUAGAUAGAUAGAUACCGUAGACAGAUUGAUACCCUGGCCAGAUAGACACCAUAGAUGGAUACCGUAGACCGACAGAUACUGUAGACAGACAGACACAUAAAUACUGUGGACAGAUACCGUAAACAGCCAGAUACCAUAGACAGCCAGAUACCGUAGACCGACAGAUACUGUAGACAGACAGACACAUAAAUACUGUGGACAGAUACCGUAAACAGCCAGUUACCAUAGACAGCCAGAUACCAUAGACAGCCAGUUACUGUAGACAGCCAGAUACCGCAAACAGGCAGAUACCGUAGACAGCAAGUUACUGUAGACAGCCAGAUACAACAAACAGGCAGAUACCGUAGACAGCCAGUUACUGUAGACAGCCAGAUACAACAAACAGGCAGAUACCGUAGCAAGAUACCAUACAUGGCCAGAUACCGUAGACAGACAGAUACCGCAAGCAGACAGUUACUGCAAACAGAGAGAGACAGCAGAUAGCCAGACAGACAGACAGACAGACAGACAGAUAAAUACUGUGGACAGAUACCGUAAACAGCCAGAUACCAUAGACAGCCAGACAGACAGACAGACUAUAGACAGACAGACAGAUAAAUACUGUGGACAGAUACCGUAAACAGCCAGAUACCAUAGACAGACAGAUAAUGUAGACAGCCAGAUACCGCAAACAGGCAGAUACCGUAGACAGCCAGAUACUGCAAACAGGCAGAUACCGUAGCAAGACACCAUACAUGGCCAGAUAUCGUAGGCAGGCAGAUACCGUAGACAGACAGAUACCGCAAGCAGACAGUUACUGCAAACAGACAGAUACAGCAGAUAGACAGACAGACAGACAGACAGACAGACAGACAGACAGACAGACAGACAGACAGACAAAUACCGCAGACAGAUACCAUAGACAGUCAGAUACUAUAGACAGAUACUGUAGACAGUAACUGUAGAUAGAUACCCUAGCUAGCUAGAUAGAUACCAUAGAUAAAUAAAUAAAUAGAUAUCAUAGAUAGAUAACAUAGAUAGAUAGACAGAUAUAUAAAUAAAUUGACAAAUAGACAGAUAAACAGACAGAUAGACACUGUAGAUAGAUAGAUAGAUAGCAUAGAUAGACAGAUACCGCAGUUAAACAGAUACCGCAGUUAGACACCACAGACAAAUACUGUAGACAGUUACUGUAUAUAGAUACCCUAGCUAGCUAACUAGAUAUAUAGCAUAGAUAAAUAGAUAGAUACUGUAGAUAGAUACCAUAGAUAGAUACCAUAAAUAGAUAGACAGAUAGAUAAAUAAAUAGACAGAUAGACAGCGUAGAUAGGUACCGUAGAUACAUACUGUAGAUAGAUAGAUACCAUAUAUAGCUAGAUAGAUAGCUAGACAGACAGACAGACACCAUAGACGUAGAUAGAUAGACAGUCAAAUUCCGCAGACAGAUACCGCAGUUAGACAGAUACUGUAGACAGUCAGAUUCUCUAGACAGUUACUGUAGAUAGAUACCCUAGCUAAUGGCACAGAUAAAUAGAUAGAUACCGUAGAUAGAUACCAUAGAUAGACAGAUAGAUAAAUAAAUAGACAGAUAAACAAACAGAUAGACAUACACCGUAGAUAGGUACAGAAUAUACAUACCGUAGAUAGAUAGAUACCAUAGAUAGCUAGAUAAAUAGACAGACAGACAGACACCAUAACGUAGAUAGAUAGACAGUCAAAUUCCGCAGACAGAUAACGCAGUUAGACAGAUACUGUAGACAGUCAGAUACUCUAAACAGAUACUGUAGAUAGAUACCCUAGCUAGCUAGC